rnacentral:lncRNA from 1 species
GUCUAUUCCUUAGUAGAAAUUUGCAGCAUCAACAUCCCACCAAAGGGGAAGACAAUAAAAGCAAUUCUCUGUGAGUCAACAUGAUGUAACCAACCCAGUGCUGGCCUGACUUAAAUUAGGACUCAACUUUGGAGAAGGUCGACAGGUGGAAAAUGUGGCUGGAAGAGAGGAGUGCUGACUUUAGGUCCCAUUCCUCACUAUCUAAUAUGUUGCCAUGUGGGAUGGUGAUAAGAACUUAGGCUUUAGAUGGAGAUAAAAGUGAAUUUGAUCACCACCACUUAAUAAGCUGUGUGUUCUUGAUGUAUCUGCACCUCCAUUUACUCAUGAUACAAUGGGUGAUACAAUCCUUUUCAUCCAGAUCGUUGUGAGUGAAAGGCAAUGUAGGUGCAGUGCCCAGUACGAUGCCUGGAACAGAACAAGUACAUGAUAAAGAGCAACUACAAAGCCUUCUGUCAUGUCCUUGGGCUGUAUAAUCACUAUGGACAUGGUGAAUUUCUUGGGCCUCAGUCUUACCUUCUGGCAAGGUAUUGGAGAUCCCUCUAGGAAAAACAAGUUGCAUCCUUGCAUUAAAGGAGAAUGGGAACCUGGUUAGAGCCAAAGAUCUUCCAGCCUUUCUCUGGAAUGGACCGAAUAUGGAAUAACAUGGACAUGUCUGAUGUGCAUCUGGAGAUGGGACGGCAGCGCAUAAUACUUCCUGGAACUGCGAGAGGAUGGGGUUGUCUUUUGACAUUGAGACCAUCAGCAGCAUGGACUCGUAAUUUCCAAACAGCAUUUAUGGCAUUAACUUGGGAAUACUAUCCAUCAAGUCUGAUGACAAAUGUGGAAGAUGAUGGUCUUGCCCGCUGCCGGCUCAAGCAGCCAACUGUGCUAGGGAGGCAAGAAGAUGCAAUAACAGAGAAGCUUGGUGGCGUGGCCAGUCUCCCAGGCAGCCUGCCUGGAAAACAGUGACAACAAACUGUGGAAACUUUCACUGUCAAAAAGAGGAGGGCUUCACCAGUGACGUUUUGCAGACACAAUCUAGACCCUGCUAAUAAUAACAACAGCUGCUUUUUAACCUGCUACAUGCCAGGUGCUCAGCAUUCAUUAUCUUAAAUCCUGCCUGUCAUCCAGCAAGGUGGGUAUUAUUAUACCCAUUUAAUAGAUAAAAAGACUGAGGAGCAAAGAGGUUGAGUGACUUGCCAGGAGCUGGUGAGUCAGGAUUUGAAUUCAUGCCUGUCUAACUGCAAAGAGAGAGGAGGUGCAACAGAUCCAGGUUUUCAAGUUUGACUUUUCCAAGCAUUGCACGGAGUGACCGUCACCAUCACCAAG